GUUAGUUGGUGUUUCUCUCUGUCUCGCUGCUCUACAUUCUCCGUGUCGUCCCUGCUGGUCCCGCCCCGUGUUCCUGCACCUUUUGUCUCCUCAUGCUUCCAGCUCACUGUUGAAGUUCAUGGUUGUCUGCAGGCUUUCAUCCCCCCACGCUCGCUCGUUUCAGGAACAUUUGAUUUGAAUAUUUGAAUAUAUACAAAUUGGAUUUUAAA